rnacentral:lncRNA from 1 species
AAUUUCUAUUACAAAGAAUAAAAAAAAAGAACAUUUGAGUACAACGGACCAGCGACUUGUUGACCGGCGUAGACACCGCGGUAGACAGUGCCGUAAGUGCCGCGAGCGAGGACGUGAUUCAUAUCGAGUUUGGAGAGGUCGAUCUCCCAUUCCUGCAUCGGAGUCUUCCUUGUAGCGGAGGAGGAGCCUUGACCCAUAUGCAAAUCCCAUUUGCUGAAAUCAACAGUAUCUGCCCUGAAGUAUUGACCUCCUCCUCCUCCUACUGCUCCAGCGCUCCUGCUCCCGACUCCCCCUAAUUUGGAGUCGGAUCCGAUUUCCACCGCCUCUCCGCCUCCGGACGCCAUUUAUUUCUCUCUGGCGACUAGGAGACCAGCAGAUGAUCAAUCGAAAAGGGAGGGAGGGAGGGAGUUGUGGAGCAAGGCUAGGGUUUUCGAAUUCACGAGUAAUAUAUGUUAUGUGGUGGAGAGGCACAAGACAAGUUCCCAAGGGACAAGAAGCCACGAGACUUUAGAAAUAAGAAGAAGAAAUAGAUUGAUUGUGAUCUCCACACACAACGCAAAGAAGAAGAAGAAGAAGAAGACAAACUCUCAACAAUUUGACCAAAUCAUUUCUCUCUCUCUCUCUUUUUUUACUGUUUCACCGCCCAAGUCUCACUCUCCCUCUCUCUGGGUCCAGAAAAUUGAUUAUUCCUUUCCCCUCUCUCUCCCGCCCAUUAUUAUAUUAGUUUUUAGAUAAAACUUUAAAACUGAUAUAGAUACGUACGUGUCUUUCUUUGUUUUGAUUCUCCUUUUUCUUUGGACACAGCCAAGCCUCCCUCCUCCAACUCUGAGAAACUUUCCUUUUAUUAACACACAACACAACAUGUACACUACUACUAUGUUUUCUUCUCCUUUCCAAACCUAAUUUUGACUUUUCAUCAAAUAGACAGGCGCAGCAGUGAACCCACCCUCCAACGAUUCCUACAACUUGAAGCAACGCACGCCUCUUUCUGCUCCUAAUUAUGAUCAUAUGACCUCCAUUUAUUUAAUUUUUUUUCUUUCUACUUUCAUCUCGAGUCAUUUUCUGGUGAAUUAACAUCCCUACUUGCAAUAUAAAUAUCUUCCACAGAUAGAAACUAACAACGUUUUUGUUUUUUUUACGCUAACCCACCAAAGGGUCCACUCUUUCAGCAACAGCACCAUCUCACGCCUCUCUUUGAUAUUACGUAACUUACUUUCUGUUAAUUAUAUAUUUAUAUACUAUAGUUUUUCUCCAUCAUGUGAAUAUGUUUUGGAAUCUUCGUCCGUCGUUGUUAUUUGGGAGCACAAAGCACCAAAACACAUCCACCACAGCAUAUACCUUUUCUAUUAUUUUUUGAAUCACCUUAUUAAUGGAACCCAACUACACAUUUGCAAAAUAAACGCUUCUGUUUUGAUUAUUUUUUGAAUCGUCUUUUUUUUUUGAAGUUACAAAAUUUCAUAAAUUUUCUGCCCCUAGAUAUUUUUUUGGGCUAUUACUUUACUGAUGCUGCAUUGUUCAGUGGACUUGAUAGGAUGGGCUUUCUUUUUUUUUUUUUGUAUUAUUAUCAGAUAAGAGAUGAUCCACAUUCCCUCAUAAAAUAAAAAGAAAAAAAACAAACAGAGCUUUAUCAUCAGUUUUUAUACACAACAGGACUGUGUGUAAAUACAUAUAUAUAGAGAGAGAGAGAGAGCAGAGAGAUUCUUAUGACAAAGACCCACACCACUCUAACUCCAAUGUCUCAACCACAAAAAUUCAACAAAAAAAAAAUCACGCAGCUCUCAAGCAUAUCAGCCAAGGGAGAGAGAUCAGGGGCCACGAGGUUUGAAGAAACAGAGGCACCCCUGAAACUUGUCUGGUGGUAUCAUUCCCCCUCCUUUGCUUGUGUCUACUGCCUCUAGUAGCUUCACUACCUCCUCCAUCUCCGGACGCCUGUCUGGAUUCGGGUCCCAGCAUCUCUUCAUUAUGUUUGCCACCGACUGUGGGCAGCAUUUCGGAAUCUCUGGUCUCAGAUUCUGUGAUCAACCAAGCAAGAGAGAGAGGAUCACAUUUUCUGAUUAAAAACCCUUUAAUAGGAGAGACUGUAAAGAGAGAGAGACCUUAUGAACAACGGCAUGAGAGAUCUCAGCAAAACUAGUGUCAGCGUAGGGCAUGUCGCAGCAGUAUAUUUCCCAGAGGCAUACACCAAAACUAUACACAUCGCAUUUCCUGUUGUAAGCCUUUCCUUCCAGAACCUAUCCACCACCCCCAAAAACUUACGAUAUUUAUUUUCACAAUUACGAAACACAAAAAGGAUGUAAUAAUACAAAAAAUACCUCAGGUCCCAUGUAUCCAAGAGUUCCAGUUUCACCAGUCAUGUCUUGAGGGUUCUGAGCUUCGACUCUAGCGACUCCGAAAUCAGCAAUCUUGAGCGUCUUGUUAGUUUCCAGCAACAUGUUCUCUGACUUCACGUCCCGAUGCACAAUCGCCUUGGAGUGGAGGUAACUCAGCCUAAGACAGAAAAAAGAUAGGCGUCUUGUUAUCAAAUAAAAGGAUGCAAUCUCUCAUAUAUAUACUAUAUAAUCCCAAAAUCAGGGAAUAGAAAAAAAGGCAGAGAGUGGUUAGUUACCCUCUAGCGAGAUCCAAAGCAAGUUGAAUGACAUCCUUGAUGGGGAGUUUGCUCCUAUAUUUCUUGAUGAGGAACUUCUUGAGGGUGCCUCCAGCGACAUACUCAACGACAACACAACAGGCCUUGGCAGGAUGUGCUCCACCAGAAUCACUACCAGAAGGGAUCUUCAGAUCAGAGGUCCCCAUGGAUGCUCCUAUAAACUGCAAAGGAAAUUUUGAAAUUAAAGUCAAAGCUUGUUCUACUACUAGUACUAAUGGUUGUGAAAGUCUCGAGUAGCAACCUUGGUAACGUUGGGAUGAUCGAGUUUCUGCCAGACGGCUACCUCUUGCUCGAAGGAAAUGCGCAGAUCAUCUGCUGUUGAGAGACCAUCUUCUCCCCAAUCUAACACCUUCACUGGUCACACACGAAAUGAAAUGAAAUGAAAUCGUAUCAAUUUCUAUUACAAAGAAUAAAAAAAAAGAACAUUUGAGUACAACGGACCAGCGACUUGUUGACCGGCGUAGACACCGCGGUAGACAGUGCCGUAAGUGCCGCGAGCGAGGACGUGAUUCAUAUCGAGUUUGGAGAGGUCGAUCUCCCAUUCCUGCAUCGGAGUCUUCCUUGUAGCGGAGGAGGAGCCUUGACCCAUAUGCAAAUCCCAUUUGCUGAAAUCAACAGUAUCUGCCCUGAAGUAUUGACCUCCUCCUCCUCCUACUGCUCCAGCGCUCCUGCUCCCGA